rnacentral:rRNA from 1 species
GGCGGACGGGUGAGUAAUGCAUAGGAAUCUACCCAGUAGCGGGGGACAACCUGGUGAAAACCAGGCUAAUACCGCAUACGCCCUACGGGGGAAAGCGGGGGACCUUCGGGCCUCGCACUAUUGGAUGAGCCUAUGUCAGAUUAGCUUGUUGGUAGGGUAAUGGCCUACCAAGGCGACGAUCUGUAGCUGGUCUGAGAGGACGAUCAGCCACACUGGGACUGAGACACGGCCCAG